ACGCUGGCGGCGUGCCUAAUACAUGCAAGUAGAACGCUGAAGCUUGGUGCUUGCACCGAGCGGAUGAGUUGCGAACGGGUGAGUAACGCGUAGGUAACCUGCCUCUUAGCGGGGGAUAACUAUUGGAAACGAUAGCUAAUACCGCAUAAAAGUCGACAUCGCAUGAUGUUGACUUGAAAGGUGCAAUUGCAUCACUAAGAGAUGGACCUGCGUUGUAUUAGCUAGUUGGUGAGGUAACGGCUCACCAAGGCGACGAUACAUAGCCGACCUGAGAGGGUGAUCGGCCACACUGGGACUGAGACACGGCCCAGACUCCUACGGGAGGCAGCAGUAGGGAAUCUUCGGCAAUGGGGGCAACCCUGACCGAGCAACGCCGCGUGAGUGAAGAAGGUUUUCGGAUCGUAAAGCUCUGUUGUAAGAGAAGAACGAGUGUGAGAGUGGAAAGUUCACACUGUGACGGUAACUUACCAGAAAGGGACGGCUAACUACGUGCCAGCAGCCGCGGUAAUACGUAGGUCCCGAGCGUUAUCCGGAUCUAUUGGGCGUAAAGCGAGCGCAGGCGGUUAGAUAAGUCUGAAGUUAAAGGCUGUGGCUUAACCAUAGUACGCUUUGGAAACUGUUUAACUUGAGUGCAGAAGGGGAGAGUGGAAUUCCAUGUGUAGCGGUGAAAUGCGUAGAUAUAUGGAGGAACACCGGUGGCGAAAGCGGCUCUCUGGUCUGUAACUGACGCUGAGGCUCGAAAGCGUGGGGAGCAAACAGGAUUAGAUACCCUGGUAGUCCACGCCGUAAACGAUGAGUGCUAGGUGUUGGGUCCUUUCCGGGACUCAGUGCCGCAGCUAACGCAUUAAGCACUCCGCCUGGGGAGUACGACCGCAAGGUUGAAACUCAAAGGAAUUGACGGGGGCCCGCAC
rnacentral:rRNA from 1 species